GCUGUAUGAGCUUCCUGCCAAUCGGCACGUGAGACUACGCGGUGACGUCAGCGUUGCCUAAGCAACCCGGGCACUCUCGGGGAGUUAGUGGACCGCCGACCUGUGACCGGAGCUUUCGUUAGAUCGUCACCUGUACCUGCGAAAAAGCCCAAACUUAGCCUCGUUUAAGACAUACCACAGACGCUGGACUCUUCUGAAAAACCUGUCACGUCGGCUUGGUCUCUCUUGCUUGUAAACAUUGAUAACUGACAUGCAGACUGGGGUGGAGAGAAGAUAAACAACUUGCUCAGACAUACGGUAAAAGGUUGGAAUAUACCAAUAAAUAUGCUGUUGCUGCUUUAACAAGCCACUUCCUUUUGUUGCCAUAUUCAACCAAAAUGUAGAUUGCUAUAGCUGGUCGGUUGGCCAGAGUUUCUCAUCAAGGAGUACAUGCUGUUUGCUCCCCAGAUGGACAGCCUGGAUGAGCUACAAAUCCACAGAGCCUGGGACACAAGAAAUUCCAAUGCUCAACCAAGUGCUCCAAGUGGAAGGCCAAGUCUCAGUUGGUAUACCAGGUUGGGUUGUGGACAUCAGAAGCCAGGAGAAGCAGUAACAAGCUAGAGUGGCCCCAUGUACCAGGACAAGGAUGGCCUGGGCUAGUCUCCUUGAGGAUGAGAGACCACGUGGAGCAGAGACAUGAACCACCCAGCCUGCCUGUAGCCCAUCAGUGUGAAGGAGGCCACCUGGGACCUCCAGCUCCAGCUGACGCACCAGCUGCCUGCAGACCCACUGACUUGUAAACAAUAAAAUUGUUAUUGUAAGCCUUCAA